rnacentral:rRNA from 1 species
GACGAACGCUGGCGGCGCGCCUAACACAUGCAAGUCGAACGGAGCAUUGAGAGCUUGCUUUUAAUGCUUAGUGGCGAACGGGUGAGUAACGCGUGAGUAACCUGCCCUGGAGUGGGGGACAACAGUUGGAAACGACUGCUAAUACCGCAUAAGCCCACGGCCCGGCAUCGGGCUGAGGGAAAAGGAUUUAUUCGCUUCAGGAUGGACUCGCGUCCAAUUAGCUAGUUGGUGAGGUAACGGCCCACCAAGGCGACGAUUGGUAGCCGGACUGAGAGGUUGAACGGCCACAUUGGGACUGAGACACGGCCCAGACUCCUACGGGAGGCAGCAGUGGGGGAUAUUGCACAAUGGGGGAAACCCUGAUGCAGCGACGCCGCGUGGAGGAAGAAGGUUUUCGGAUUGUAAACUCCUGUCGUUAGGGACGAUAAUG